UCUUGGUCAUUUAGAGGAAGUAAAAGUCGUAACAAGGUUUCCGUAGGUGAACCUGCGGAAGGAUCAUUACUGAGUUAGGGUCCUAUGUUUGGCCCGACCUCCAAACCUUUGUGUACUAUGCAUAUACUGUUGCUUUGGCAGGUGAUAUUGAUGCCCUGCCAGAGCCCCAAUCAAAACCAAUAUUUUAUUAUGGUGUCUGAGUUUGUAAAAACAAUCAUUAAAACUUUCAACAACGGAUCUCUUGGUUCCCGCAUCGAUGAAGAACGCAGCGAAAUGCGAUAAGUAAUGUGAAUUGCAGAAUUCAGUGAAUCAUCGAAUCUUUGAACGCACAUUGCGCCCCUUGGCAUUCCGAGGAGCAUGCCUGUUCGAGCGUCAUUAUGAAAACCUCAAGCCCAUGUAUUAAUAAAUACAGCUUGGUAUUGGGUCUUCAUCCUCCCUAUCCCUUGAAAGGAAAGGGGGAGAUGUACCUGAAAAUCAGUGGUGGUGCCACAAUGGCCUCAAGUGUAGUAGACUUUAACUCUCACUUUGGAUGGUCACUUGGAGUAACCUGCCCAUCAUCUAGAAAUGGUUUGACCUCGGAUCAGGU
rnacentral:rRNA from 1 species